GAGAGUAGGUGCAGGCGGUUGCAGAUCAGUUUCGUUGAAACUGGUUUGAGGAAAGUCCGGACUCCCGAAAGACCAAACUUGCUGGAUAACGUCCAGUGCGAGUGAUCGUGAGGAUAGUGCCACAGAAAGAUACCGCCAAAUAAAGUUAGGAGUUAGGAGUUUUGAAUUCAUCACUCAUAACUAAUUUGGUAAGGGUGCAAAGGUGCGGUAAGAGCGCACCAGCAGCGUUGAGAAGCGCUGGCUCGGUAAACCCCGGUUGGGAGCAAGGCCAGAGGAACUACGGUUGGUCUUUUACCAGUUCCGUUCAAAGAGAGCCGCUAGAGGCGUUUGGUAACAAGCGUCCCAGAUAGAUAACUGCCCUCGCAAGAGAACAGAACCCGGCUUAUGUCCGACUCUCUCCC
rnacentral:RNase_P_RNA from 1 species